rnacentral:lncRNA from 1 species
UACCCAAAAUUCAUUUCCCACCAAAAUUUUACUCUCCCAUUUACUUUUUCUCAAAAUUUUACUCCCAAAAAUCCUCAAAACCUUUUAUUUUCCCCCAAAACUUUUACUCCCUCCUAUUUUUCCUCUAAAACUUUUAUUCCCUUCUCAUUUCACCUCCCAUCUACCCCAAACCCUCCCCCCUCAAAUUUUUUUUUUAAUAUUUUCCCUUCAAAAUUUUACUCCCCCUAUUUAUUUUCCCUCAAACUUUUAUUCCUCAAAACUUUUUAUUUUCCCCCUAAACUUUUACUUCUCAC